rnacentral:rRNA from 1 species
CAACUUGAGAGUUUGAUCCUGGCUCAGAACGAACGCUGGCGGCAGGUUUAACACAUGCAAGUCGAGCGCACCUUCGGGUGAGCGGCGGACGGGUUAGUAACGCGUGGGAAUGUACCCUUCACUACGGAAUAGCCCAUGGAAACGUGGAGUAAUACCGUAUACGCCCUCAGGGGGAAAGAUUUAUCGGUGAGGGAUCGGCCCGCGUUAGAUUAGAUAGUUGGUGGGGUAAUGGCCUACCAAGUCGACGAUCUAUAGCUGGUUUGAGAGGAUGAUCAGCAACACUGGGACUGAGACACGGCCCAGACUCCUACGGGAGGCAGCAGUGGGGAAUA